rnacentral:rRNA from 1 species
GAUGAACGCUGGCGGCGUGCCUAAUACAUGCAAGUCGAGCGAAUGGAUUAAGAGCUUGCUCUUAUGAAGUUAGCGGCGGACGGGUGAGUAACACGUGGGUAACCUGCCCAUAAGACUGGGAUAACUCCGGGAAACCGGGGCUAAUACCGGAUAAUAUUUUGAACUGCAUGGUUCAAAAUUGAAAGGCGGCUUCGGCUGUCACUUAUGGAUGGACCCGCGUCGCAUUAGCUAGUUGGUGAGGUAACGGCUCACCAAGGCAACGACGCGUAGCCGACCUGAGAGGGGGAUCGGCCAAACUGGGACUGAGACACGGCCCAGACUCCUACGGGAGGCAGCAGUAGGGAAGCGUCCGCAAUGGGCGAAAGUCUGACGGAGCAACGCCGCGUGGGAGAAGAAGGCUUUCGGGUCGUAAAACUCUGGCGUUAGGGAAGAACAAGUGCUAGUUGAAUAAGCUGGCACCUUGACGGUACCUAACCAGAAAGCCACGGCUAACUACGUGCCAGCAGCCGCCGUAA